GAUGAACGCUGGCGGCGUGCCUAAUACAUGCCAGUCGAGCGAACAGAUGAGGAGCUUGCUCCUCUGACGUUAGCGACGGACGGGUGAGUAACACGUGGAUAACCUACCUAUAAGACUGGGAUAACUUCGGGAAACCGGAGCUAAUACCGGAUAAUAUAUUGAACCGCAUGGUUCAAUAGUGAAAGACGGUUUUGCUGUCACUUAUAGAUGGAUCCGCGCCGCAUUAGCUAGUUGGUAAGGUAACGGCUUACCAAGGCGACGAUGCGUAGCCGACCUGAGAGGGUGAUCGGCCACACUGGAACUGAGACACGGUCCAGACUCCUACGGGAGGCAGCAGUAGGGAAUCUUCCGCAAUGGGCGAAAGCCUGACGGAGCAACGCCGCGUGAGUGAUGAAGGUCUUCGGAUCGUAAAACUCUGUUAUUAGGGAAGAACAAAUGUGUAAGUAACUAUGCACGUCUUGACGGUACCUAAUCAGAAAGCCACGGCUAACUACGU
rnacentral:rRNA from 1 species